rnacentral:rRNA from 1 species
AGAGUUUGAUCAUGGCUCAGAUUGAACGCUGGCGGCAGGCCUAACACAUGCAAGUCGAACGGUAACAGGAAACAGCUUGCUGUUUCGCUGACGAGUGGCGGACGGGUGAGUAAUGUCUGGGAAACUGCCCGAUGGAGGGGGAUAACUACUGGAAACGGUAGCUAAUACCGCAUAACGUCGCAAGACCAAAGAGGGGGACCUUCGGGCCUCUUGCCAUCGGAUGUGCCCAGAUGGGAUUAGCUAGUAGGUGGGGUAAAGGCUCACCUAGGCGACGAUCCCUAGCUGGUCUGAGAGGAUGACCAGCCACACUGGAACUGAGACACGGUCCAGACUCCUACGGGAGGCAGCAGUGGGGAAUAUUGCACAAUGGGCGCAAGCCUGAUGCAGCCAUGCCGCGUGUAUGAAGAAGGCCUUCGGGUUGUAAAGUACUUUCAGCGGGGAGGAAGGGAGUAAAGUUAAUACCUUUGCUCAUUGACGUUACCCGCAGAAGAAGCACCGGCUAACUCCGUGCCAGCAGCCGCGGUAAUACGGAGGGUGCAAGCGUUAAUCGGAAUUACUGGGCGUAAAGCGCACGCAGGCGGUCUGUUAAGUCAGAUGUGAAAUCCCCGGGCUCAACCUGGGAACUGCAUCUGAUACUGGCAGGCUUGAGUCUCGUAGAGGGGGGUAGAAUUCCAGGUGUAGCGGUGAAAUGCGUAGAGAUCUGGAGGAAUACCGGUGGCGAAGGCGGCCCCCUGGACGAAGACUGACGCUCAGGUGCGAAAGCGUGGGGAGCAGACAGGAUUAGAUACCCUGGUAGU